CCAGUCCCUUGCUAUAACGAACAAGGAUGAGCAUGUGCAAUGGGUAGGGGAUAGGGUGAGAGCAUGGCAAGUUUCCAAGUGGAUAUUCCCCCUCCUCCUCCCCCUCCCCCCCGACAUGUACAAACAAGGCGAUAACGAAAGUGAAGAGCUGAAAAAGCCCUUACCCCAUAUACAGUAUUGAUGUACAGUGCUGUGUUUGUAAUCAGGACGGGGGGUGAAGCAGCGAUGAGAGAAGUAUUACUGAUUGUUGACGCAAAAAAGGCAAGGAAGAAGUGCUCCAGGAGAGGAGAUACAAGACAGGAUUUGCUCAUCGAUUUUCUGAAAUGGAAAAGUUUUAAAGGAUAUGGGUGCAUGAAGAGAGGAAAAGGGAUAACCUUUCUUCUAAAAACAUCAAAUUGCCAAGACACAGCCUCCAUCCAUCCCGCAUGUUAAAAAAGACUUUUUUAAGGGGAAACUUGCCAAAGGCCAAUAGAUCCUCACUUCUCUCCCUUCCCAAGGCAUAUCCUUCUUUCUAUUCCACAUGUAUCUGUUUAUGUCUGCCUCAGAUUUGUACUGAGUGAGGCAACCAGAAAUGCUGGCAAUCGAAAUUUUCCACCAUCGCGAUUGUUCCGGGUCCACUAAAACUAUUUCCAGUAGCAAUGUUUCGUUUUAAGAGACAGAACCAGCAAAACAGCAGGGAGCUAUACUUGUGUAUCAAGAUCUGCAGAAGGAAAGAGCUGAAAAGAUGGCAAUGAAAAAGCGCCCGGAGACAAAAACAAAUCAGAAGCCUCAGGUGGUCUAACUUGGACCUCUGAAACCGAAGUACCACUGUGUGUGUACACAAGGUACCCAGCAUAUGCCUAUACAUAAGUACAGUCUGUGUGUGUAUCUCAGAGUAUAUGAUUAAGAACAUGCACGCACACAAUAGCUCUACCUAGCUUAGAGGGGUUUAGCCUUGGGAGAAAGACGUCUCAGAGCUGUCCCUCGCUGUUUUCCCUGUGUGCCAGAAGGGGCCGCUGCACUAAUUCGCCAGGGCAAACAAUGCGAGGAUUGAUUACAUUUGCAAAGUUGCUGCCUGAUCCGGCUUCCUCCGAAGGCGACGGCAAACCACCCCCCCCCCCCCCCAACUUCAGUGGCAGCAGGCUCGGACGCCUGAGUUGCGCAGGGAUUAGCAGGGCGGGAGCUCCCCUGCCUCCUGUCACGCUAGUAGGGUACCGUGGCGCGUUUCUCAGCGGCGCGGUCAGCGGGUGUGCGCAGAGACGCAGACACAGCUCCUCCCGCUCCAGGCUCCGCUCUGCACAGACAGACCCAGGCUACGUACAGCUCUCGCUACCUCUCUGGUUUCCAGGACGCAUGUUCUCUGGAGGAGUGUCACAGUCUAUUGUGUAACCCCCUCAUCGCGUUUUACUGACAUUACCCAUUCGCCGAGGGCCCGAAUCUGAAGUACCAUGAUGCCACCCCGUCCGAUAGCCCUCCAGGGAAACAGGGCUGGGCCCGGGCGGCAGAUCAGGUCGCAGUUGUGUCUCCCCCACCCCACCGAUCCCAGUUUGCGAGCGGCUGGCUGGGUUAAUCCGUCCGUGUCUCAGAGCCAGCGAGGCGCAAGAACACAGCUAAUAAAUUAAUCCGCCGCUUUCCCACCCCCCGAGCGGGAACCCCGCUGCCGCUCAGCGCCGCGCCUCCGGCGAGUGGCAGCACGCGCGCCCCCCAGGCUCAGGUGCGGCGCAGGAAGAGCCCAGCCUGUCUUUCGCGCUUGCCUCCAGCAGCAGCCCCAGCCCCACACUCCGGGGCUGAUUUACAUGUUAAUUGUGCCUGGGAAAACUUCUGUAAUUGCCGGAAUUAGGCAGAGCAAACGGAUUGUUUCACAGGCUGAACCAAAUUAAUUCCAGGUUUAGCUCCUUCCCUUAGAGAAACAAACAAUUAAGCUGUCUUGUUUGCUUUAUGGAUAUCGUUGAAAUGGGAGACACGUUGCUUUUCUAGAGAGGGCGGGGUGGGGUUUUCUUUCGCAGGAUGUAUUGUUGUUUUGAAUAUUAAUGUUUAUUUACUUAUUUUAUUUCACAGAGUCGCUACAUGGAGAGGCUAUUUCUAUUGACUUUUUUUGCACAAUCCAAUCAGUAACACACUGAUUUAUAAUUGCUUACCUUUUCAUAGCAUAUCACUAAAGAAAGCUGUGUCCCUCCUCUCUGAUUUUCCAAAUCCGCUGCAUUACGAUCCAGUUAGACAGCUAUCUUUUUAAACCGUUUGGAUUUCGAUUAUGAGAUGAAACCGCAGUGGAAGCCACGUGUAAAUCCGCUCGCUUGGAGCUCUAAGACUCUUUUUUACCAGUGCCUUUGUGACAGCAAGCGAAGGAGCAGGGGGAAUAAAAGCAAAAGAUCCCCCAUCCCCCUUUUGCUGAUUUCAGCCUGUUCCUUCUCUGACUGCUGCAGCUAAAACCUCGGGGCUAUAUGGUCAAAACCUGACGCUCAGAGACAGGACUGACGUUCAGAGUGCUCAAUCCCACUUCAAUCAGUUGGUCUCCAGUUUGAAACAAAGCACUGCUUGGGACGUGGGAGGGAUGCAAACCACAGUGGAUUCUCUUUACAGUGAAUGAAGUGCAAUUCAGUGCAGCACAUGGAGACUUCUCAACGAUCUUAAAUCUGGAUAUAAAACAUAACCUUUAAAGUCCUGGGAAGGAGCUAAACUAUAACCUGAAUUCAUUUGGGGGAUGCAAGACCUCCUCUUGUCUUGAUCUAACUAGUGUGCAAAUGUUUCCUAACAGUACUUUUACUGUAUCUGCCCCAUGAAUAGAUCCACAGGGCUGCUGUCCUUUCCCUUUCAACAAUAAUUCUACUGUACUGCAUUGAAUCUUUAGCUCCAUUCACUUUUUAUAUUAAAUUAUUGUUUGGGAAAUU